GUGGGGAAUUUUGGACAAUGGGCGAAAGCCUGAUCCAGCCAUGCCGCGUGUGUGAAGAAGGUCUUCGGAUUGUAAAGCACUUUAAGUUGGGAGGAAGGGCAGUAAGUUAAUACCUUGCUGUUUUGACGUUACCGACAGAAUAAGCACCGGCUAACUUCGUGCCAGCAGCCGCGGUAAUACGAAGGGUGCAAGCGUUAAUCGGAAUUACUGGGCGUAAAGCGCGCGUAGGUGGUUUUGUAAGUUGGAGGUGAAAUCCCCGGGCUCAACCUGGGAACUGCCUCCAAAACUGCAUGACUAGAGUACGGUAGAGGGUAGUGGAAUUUCCUGUGUAGCGGUGAAAUGCGUAGAUAUAGGAAGGAACACCAGUGGCGAAGGCGACUACCUGGACUGAUACUGACACUGAGGUGCGAAAGCGUGGGGAGCAAACAGGAUUAGAAACCCCGGUAGUCC
rnacentral:rRNA from 1 species